UCCACAGAAUAUCAAAAUGGAUAUAUUAGAAACUGCAGAAAACACUUGUGAUCUCGAAGAAAUUGAACAUCAAACUCAUUUCAACACAAUUCACCUAUCCUUAAUCCAAAGUUUCGAAACUCAAUCUGUUAUUCCAUCCGAGGAUUUGUCUCCUAAAGAAGAGAACAUACCUCAAGAAAAUGAAUUAAAGCAGGUCGAGGAUGUGGUGAAGAUUGAAGUUGAUUCUCACCGAAGAUCCAUUCUGCCAAGAAGCAGCCAACUUAGUAACCAAUUAGGAUUAGAAAGAACUGUAAUUGGAUAUAAAAAUUUGAAGCUCAAGCUAUCUUUCAUUAAUCAAAUAGCUCCCACCAUUUUCACCAACAAUGAAAUAAAAGCCAAAAAUGGAAAACCACUAGUAGUUGCAAUUUGUGAUAAUACUACCAACUCCAAAGCUAUCAUCAAGACAGGUAUGUUGUCGAGGGCCUUGGUUGAGUUCGUCGUCCUCGACGGUGAAUUCGGAUUCAAUCUACGACGAGAGAAAAAUAAUUGGAAUGAUUUUAACGAAAGUAUUGUUUCUGAAAGAGUGGGGAAAAGGCCCUUAAUUGUUGGGAAUGAUAAGAUAAUUCUCUUGGAAAAUGGGUUUGGACAGCUUAAUGAUUUGAGCUUUACUGACAAUUCAAGUUGGACCAAAACUAAGAAGUUUAGAUUGGGAGUGAAAUUUGUGGAUGAGGAAAUCAAAACUAAAUUUCCAGGAAUUGAGGGAGCUGUCUCCGAACCCUUUAGAGUGAUGGAUCAGCGUGGUAAAGGGUACAAGAAACACCACCCUCCAAGUAGGAAAGAUGAACUAUAUCGAUUGGAAGGAAUUGCCAAAAAUGGUGCAUAUCACCAACGCUUGUCCUCCAACGGAAUAGAAAAUGUGGGUGAUCUUUUGAAGGUUUAUAAACAAAAGGGUUCUAUUUACUUAAAACAGCUACUUGGAGAGAAAGUCCCUGAAAAGAUAUGGAGUAAGAUGAUUAAUAAUGCUUUAGAAUGUGAUUCAGUGGAAAAGGAAGCUAAUUUUAAAAACUUGGAAGAUAUGGAACUUUAUUAUCAAGACUUUCCAUCCUUCAAUCCAACCCCUACGUUUGUUUUGAAACGAAACUUAGCAACACUUGGGGGAUAAUUAUGAAGCAAUGAGAGCUGGCCAAGGUUUUGAAGGGACGAUGGGGGAGCAAGACAAGCACUAUUCCAUUUUCAAUAAUGAUUAUCCACCAUUGUUGCUACAUGGAGAGGCUUCAACCUCAUACCAACCAUAACUAUAAAGGGCGACCUUGCAAUGGGUUGGUGCCUAAACCCAAACAAAAGUAUUAUUACUCCAACAAAAAUAAUAUAGAGUGAGAAGUUUUCGGCCUUUUCUUUUUGGUUCAGUUUGAUUUCAAUUAUAGACCUUAUGACUAUUUUGAUUUUGAAUAAUGUUGAGUGUGAUGAGAACAUCUUUACUUC